GAUGAACGCUGGCGGCGUGCCUAAUACAUGCAAGUCGAGCGAACAGAUAAGGAGCUUGCUCCUUUGAAGUUAGCGGCGGACGGGUGAGUAACACGUGGGUAACCUACCUAUAAGACUGGGAUAACUUCGGGAAACCGGAGCUAAUACCGGAUAACAUUUAGAACCGCAUGGUUCUAAAGUGAAAGAUGGUUUUGCUAUCACUUAUAGAUGGACCCGCGCCGUAUUAGCUAGUUGGUAAGGUAACGGCUUACCAAGGCGACGAUACGUAGCCGACCUGAGAGGGUGAUCGGCCACACUGGAACUGAGACACGGUCCAGACUCCUACGGGGGGCAGCAGUAGGGAAUCUUCCGCAAAGGGCGAAAGCCUGACGGAGCAACGCCGCGUGAGUGAUGAAGGGUUUCGGCUCGUAAAACUCUGUUAUUAGGGAAGAACAAAUGUGUAAGUAACUGUGCACAUCUUGACGGUACCUAAUCAGAAAGCCACGGCUAACUACGUG
rnacentral:rRNA from 1 species